GGUUGCGAUCAUACCAACACUAAUGCACCGGAUCUCAUCAGAACUUCGCAGCUAAGCGUGCUUGGGCGAGAGUAGUACUAGGAUGGGUGACCCCCUGGGAAGUCCUCGUGUUGCAACCC
rnacentral:rRNA from 1 species